rnacentral:tRNA from 1 species
GAUUAUUUGGCCGAGUAUUAGGCAGAUAUUUUGAAAGUAUCUUACAGAGGUUUAAGCCCUCUAAUAAUUU